AUCUGCAAUGCAUCCUUACUUCAUGAGCCCAUGAAACAGAAUAGUUUGUGUGUCUCACUAAUGAAGGUAUUCUUCUGUAAUGAGCACACUUAAGAAUUUGGGUGUUACGCUUUCCUCAGCAGACUUUAAGGGCAACUUUUGGCCUUACACGUGUGGAUGAAGACGCUUCCCUUGCAUUUCACCUGGAAGAUGCUCUGAGGUUCCAGCAUUAAGCAUGUUCCCUGCUCUGCUUUGACACACAUCGCCCUGCACGGCACAGAGCCUGGCCAGCUUCCUCCUCCCUCCUGGCUCCACGGGCCUCCCAGCAGGGAUGCAGCUCCAAGAUCACCAACACAGCUUCAGAAUUACCUGGGAGAACAGAAGAGAAAAGGCUCUGGAGAACAGAUGCAGUACAGCAGGAAACUUUGCCAUGAGCCCGGGCCAUUCUGAUGGCUCAAUAUAUGGUGAUUUAU
ensembl:lncRNA